UGUGUGAAGAAGAAGGGGAGAGAGGGUGGUGUGUGGCGAGGACUGGGUUAGUUUCCCGGAUGGAGUUCCGUCGCCAUUUUUAGUCCAGUGCUACCGGUAGAGUCGGGACGCUGAGCCACUGUUGCUCCGCUAGGAAUCGCCGACUGAGACAGACGCACCUAACGUCGAGCCUCUGUUCCUCCGCCCGGAAAAACGCCAGCCCCGGCACCGAACACCAUGUCAGAAGAUCGAGACAUCUUAGUAUAUCAGGCCAAACUUGCCGAGCAAGCUGAGAGAUAUGACGAAAUGGUGGAGUCCAUGAAGAAGGUGGCAGGCAUGGACGUGGAGCUCACGGUGGAGGAGAGAAACCUGCUGUCCGUGGCCUACAAGAACGUGAUCGGCGCCAGGAGAGCGUCCUGGAGGAUAAUCAGCAGUAUUGAACAGAAGGAGGAGAGCAAGGGCGGGGAGGAGAAAUUACGGAUGAUCCGGGAAUAUAGGCAAACGGUUGAGACUGAACUGAAAAAGAUCUGUGGUGACAUUCUGGAUGUACUGGACAAGCAUCUCAUUCCAUCUGCAACCUCGGGAGAAUCCAAGGUUUUCUACUACAAAAUGAAAGGUGAUUAUCACAGGUAUCUGGCAGAGUUCGCCACAGGGAACGACAGGAAGGAGGCGGCAGAGAACAGCUUGGUAGCCUACAAAGCUGCGAGCGACAUCGCCAUGAUCGAACUCCCACCCACACAUCCCAUCCGCUUAGGUCUUGCACUGAACUUCUCCGUAUUUUAUUAUGAAAUCCUCAAUUCCCCUGACCGUGCGUGCAGGUUGGCGAAGGCAGCAUUUGACGAUGCCAUUGCAGAACUGGACACGUUGAGUGAAGAAAGCUACAAGGACUCCACGCUCAUCAUGCAGUUGUUACGCGACAACCUGACACUAUGGACUUCAGACAUGCAGGGAGAUGAUUCCUAAGGACAAACAUCAUUCCCUGUUAAAAACUCAAAAAAUCUAAAGCGUACGUUGUGAAGAACAGAAUAAAGAAGCACUGCAAGAUGCAGAGGAUGAAAACCAGUGAGACGUCAUGGCCAAUACAAGACCCCGACCCCAGACUCCUCCAUCCCCACCCCCCGUGUCACAGAGAGCCCCCCACCCCGGCUUUUACCCAGGCUCUCGUUAGAUCUACGCCCCACCUGGCCUCUUAGGGGCUCCAUUCUUUUUUUUUUGUUUUUGUUUUUUUAUUAUUUUUUUUGUUUAGUUUUUUGUUUUUGGUUUUUUUUUUUUUUUUUUUCUCAUUUGUUUCUUUUUUUUAUUACCCCAUUUUCUUCAGAUACGUAAACUAAACUUAAUAACCGGUUUUGGAAAGGCAAACGAUUAGAGUCCCUGGAUUUGUUCUCUCUCUCUCUCCCCCGGUACAGGCUGUCUUGGUAAUUGAUAGACUCGGAUCCCUUUGUUCAUUUCUUUCUAUUUGCUUUUUUCCACAGCAUUUUAUCAGUUUGCUGGAUGUAUUUUGAGUAUUGUUCAUGUAAUUACAGAAAUUAAUUUUUAUUACCGAAACAUCUGCUAUAAUUAGAUGUGGGAACUGUAAUAUUUCUGUGUUAGUGCAAACAUCGGUUGAAAAUUAGAGAAUACAAUUUUUACAAAGGGCAUUCGUGUUUUAAGAGAAAAGAACAAAGUGCCCUUUCUUUCAUUGUUUCUUUCUGUUACAGUUUCAGAGGAAGUUGGCAGAAUUCUGAAUAUCCAAGUGGAGCAAAAAUGCCUAAACUUUUACAGUUUUAGUGGUUAUGUCCUGUAGUGAUUUGGACUGUACAUUGUGCUGAAAUACUGUAUUGCGCACACUCUUGCUGAUUUCAGGAAAUGGCUGGUAGCAGUUUAAAAAAAAUAAAAAUCUGAAGGAGCCUUGUUGCUUUGUUCCCCAUUCAGAAAAAUAGCAGGUUUGUAUCCGCAUUUGGAAAAGAUAAAAUUAAAUAAUCAAGUCAAUUUAAAACCUGCAUCUGUUCAAACUUAAGCAUACUUUAUUUUUUCUCUCUCUACCCCUCUUUCUCUUCUCUUUUCUGUCUCGUUCUUUCCUCUGUUCUUUUUUUCAUUCAGUAUAUGUAACUUGAAGCUAAUUUGUACUACUGGAUAUCUGACUGGAGCCACAGAUAAACAAUCUGUAUUCUUACUGAAACACAGCAUGGAAUUAACAUUAAACUUAAAAUAAAAACAACCUGAAUUAAAAAAA